GCACCUCCCCCAAAUUACCUUUGGCACUAUAACGUGCCUCUUACCUCUAGGAACCCCAGACAAUACAAAAGCCAGAUAACUGCAAAAUGUACUUUAUUAGAAAAUCAGGGGGAAUAGUGAGCACUGCCUCUAAUCUUCAGGAAAAUAAAUUUACAGUAAGUAAAAAUGUAUGCUCUUCCCUUCAGAUUAGAGGCAGUGCUUUACAACAG